rnacentral:rRNA from 1 species
AUUGAACGCUGGCGGCAGGCCUAACACAUGCAAGUCGAGCGGAUGGAGGGAGCUUGCUCCUGGAUUCAGCGGCGGACGGGUGAGUAAUGCCUAGGAAUCUGCCUGGUAGUGGGGGAUAACGUUCGGAAACGGGCGCUAAUACCGCAUACGUCCUGAGGGAGAAAGUGGGGGAUCUUCGGACCUCACGCUAUCAGAUGAGCCUAGGUCGGAUUAGCUAGUUGGUGGGGUAAAGGCCUACCAAGGCGACGAUCCGUAACUGGUCUGAGAGGAUGAUCAGUCACACUGGAACUGAGACACGGUCCAGACUCCUACGGGAGGCAGCAGUGGGGAAUAUUGGACAAUGGGCGAAAGCCUGAUCCAGCCAUGCCGCGUGUGUGAAGAGGGUCUUCGGAUUGUAAAGCACUUUAAGUUGGGAGGAAGGGCAGUAAGUUAAUACCUUGCUGUUUUGACGUUACCAACAGAAUAAGCACCGGCUAACUUCGUG